CGGAGGCGAGGCGUGCGUCGGCGGCGAGGCGUGCGUCGGCGGCGAGGUGGGGCGUCGCCGCUGCGGCGGUCAUCUUCCUGCUCGCCUACAUGAUGUGGGCAUAAGGAGCACGGGCAAGAUGAUCCUGCAGGCUCCAAGUGUAAAGACUGAUCAAUUUGUAAUUUCUGCUAUCAAGAUUCCGACAGAAGGAAAAUUCUCCCAGUUUUUCUGGUAGUUAAGGUUGCGGUCUUUGGGCCGAAUGAGACGCUCUAAAAAGACAAAAGGACUAUCUGAAUGCUUAGCUACUUGAUGGAUAUUCAUUUUUGGUAGUUUAGGUUGGGUCUUUGGCCCGAUUGAGGCAUUCUUGUAAGACUAUCAGAUAAAUCAUGAAGGAACAGUUAGGAACAGCUAAUUGAUUGUUUCCCUUCCCAUACAAUAGUUAAUUGGUUGUUUCGCUUCGGGUAAA